AUGGCUUCCGCGGCCUCGCAGCAUCUCAAUCUCGAGAUCACCGUAAUCUCUGCUAAACACCUUAAGAACGUUAAUUGGCGAAAGGGCGAUCUGAAACCAUAUGCUACUUUCUAUCUGGAUAACUCGGACCAGCGGCUCGCUACUCAUUCCGAUGACUCGGGCUGCACUCGCCCCGUUUGGAACGAGCGAUUCACUCUGCCUAUUACUCAUCCCCAAAGUGAUUCAAUGCUCACUCUUGAGAUCCUUCACUGCAAUCUAUCUGAAACUCCUAAGCCUCUUGUCGGUACCGUUAAGUUUCCACUGAGUCAGCUUCUCGUCUCGGACGAUUCGGACAACUCAGUUCGCACUCUCGAGCUCAUUCGUCCCUCUGGCCGUCCACAGGGUAAGGUCCGCUUGAAACUGGCCGUAAAAGAACAUUCUUUGCCUCCGCUGAUGCAAGAUUACCAUACUCUCCCUAUGUACGGUCAUUAUUACAAUCCCGCUCCUCCACCUCCGUCGGGCCACUACAGUGGUUUCCCUCCCUCUCCGUACCCUUAUUCUGAUCACUAUGGCUACUACUCGUCCUAUUAUCCUCCGCAACCGCAUCUACCCUCUCGGCCGUUGUAUAAUGGAGCAUCCAAUUACAACUUGCCAACGGGCCCUUCUGCCCCCGUUUAUUUGUCGUCGCCAUCGCCUCCGGAAUCGUUGCAAAAGACUUCUAAUUAUUGUGUGCCGAGUGGGCCGUCGGCUCCCUUGGAUUAUUCAUCGACGAAUGCGAUGAUUAGCUGUGGGAGCCAGCUCACCUGCACUGUGGGUGGUUUAAAUCAGGGUCAGGAAGAAGAGAGUAACUAUGAGAAGGAGAAAGUUACGGGUAGGGAAAGUCACAGUUAUAGUGAUUAUCGCCGUGAGUAUUGAAGCAAUUGAUCGAGAGAAAGCCUGAAUUGGUAUUAACUACAGUCUACAGUGUGUUAAGAUCACUAGGUGUUUGGUUGGAGAUUUUUGUUUUCUUGUCCUUCCACAUGGGCUUGUAUUAGGCAGAAGAUGGCUGUCAUGAAUCAGCAGUUGGUGAAACGCUUCAUAGUCAUCCAUCUAUUGGUUGGUAUGUCUCUGUUGUAUUGGAAUUGGCUGAAACACAAUUUGAACCAUCAAAUUUCAACUUGUUAUAGAAUUUCUGGGAUACAGAUUUUUGUCUUGUGAUUGUAUUGAACGUUAUGCAUCUAUUUGUAGAUGCAUGACUGUUAUAGAUUAUUUAUUACAAUUUUAUCAGCUCUACAAGCUGAAGGAUGAUCACAAA